GUCCUACAGGGUGAGGCAAGGCAAGGCAAGGCGGGGGUGCCAUUGUCGCAGGGAAAGGUGAGGCACAGGCCAGGGCGGCUGCUGCCUGACACCAUCGCCCUCCCCCCGCCUCCGCACAGAGAGGCCAGCGAGCGCAUGGGUGCUGGGAUGCAACCGGCCAAGUGGGACUUUGGUGACUUAGCAGGCAGCUGGUUGAAGAGAGACUGUUGCCAUCUCCGGGGCAUGGCACGCAUGCCCACAGAGAGGGCUCUGAGUGCCACCUCUGGCACGUGUGCCAGAGGUUCGCCACCACUGGUCUAUAUUGAUACAUAAAUAUUCUGAAAGAGAACAUUACAUUCCACAUGGCAGCAAUUUGUUGAUUGGUUGAAUUAUAUUUAACAUAAAGAAACAGCUCUUUAUGUAGGUGUAAUCAGUUUUGGAUUGCAGAGGAAUCGAAGUGCAGUUAUCCCAAGCUGGCUUAAUACUUUCUCUUUCGAAUUUCAUCAGACAGGGGAUGAAGUAGGCUGCAGUCCAUUCUGUAAUGCAUGCCUAAAUUUUAAAGACACUGCUUUGGGGAACGAUACUCACACCUUCAAGCCAGCAAACUUGGGAAUCUGGGCAGCGAUCUCUCAAAGACGGAAUGGCCGCUUUGGCCCCGCCCCACUCCCGACACGCCUCGCGCUCAGCGGACUUUCCGUAGGCAAGAUGGCGGCGCCCACGCUCCGGGUUGGAAACCUAUGGCUUCUUUCGGCUCGGAGAGCAGCAGCGCUGCCUCGGCUCCUGGUUUCGCAGGCGCGGCGGCAACGUCAUGACCAGCGGCCAGACGCUAGGCCGGUGCCUGGUUCGCCCGUGGCGAAGGGGCUCUUAGCCACCCAGUACCAGCGCGGUCUGUUCCAGGAGGUGUUCCCGCCUCAGCCCGCCGAGGAGCAGCUCAUCGACCUCCUCCAGCCCGGCCGCCCGCCCGUCACGGCCUACUGCGGCUUCGACCCCACGGCCGACUCGUUGCACGUUGGGCACCUACUGACAGUCCUGGGCUUGCUGCACUUCCAGCGCGCCGGCCAUAACGUCAUCGCCCUAGUGGGCGGAGCCACGGCGCAGCUGGGCGAUCCCAGCGGCCGCACCAAAGCGCGCGAGCCGCUGACGGCGGAGCAGGUGCGGGAGCGCGCGGGGGGCCUCCUCGAGGGGCUGCAACGGCUCUUCCAGAACCACCGGGAGCUCUUCUGGGCCGAGGAUGGCGACCGCCUGGGCAGCGUCCAUUUCCUGGACAACGCCAGCUGGCUGGAACGCGAGUCGGUCAUGGGCUUCCUGGGCGGAAUCGGGGGUCACCUGCGGAUGGGCACGUUGCUCAGCCGGCAGAGCUGCAAGGCCCGCUUGAGCAGCACGGAAGGCCUGGGCUUGGCCGAGUUUCUAUACCCGGCUCUGCAAGCUUACGACUUCCUGCAUUUGUACCGUCACUACGGCUGCCUCAUUCAGCUGGGUGGAGCGGACCAGCUGGGCAAUAUCAUGUCUGGAUACGACCUCGUCUCUAAAGUAACUGACAAUGAUGUAUAUGGAAUAACUGUACCUCUUAUUACAAGUACUACUGGAGAUAAGCUGGGAAAAUCUGCUGGGAACGCAGUUUGGCUUAACAGAAAUAGGACUUCUCCGUUUGAACUGUAUCAGUUCUUUAUCAGACAACCAGAUGCCACUGUAGAAAGGUAUUUGAAGCUUUUUACUUUCCUUUCUGAUAUGGAAAUUGAUCAUAUCAUGCAAGUGCAUGCUAAAGACCCUGAGAAGCGGGGACCUCAGAAGCGGCUUGCUGCUGAAGUAACUAAGCUUGUUCAUGGCAGGAAAGGUCUGGAAUCUGCCAAGAGAUGUACAAAGGCCUUUUAUUAUAGCAAUGUAGAUGCAUUAGAAAGUAUGUCUGACGAAGAGCUACAAGAACUCUUUAGAGAAGCACCUUACAUAGAAAUGCUACUUGAACCUGGAACAACAGUAAUUGAUUUGUGUCGGAAAGCUAAUGCAAUUGCAGAUGGACCAAAGGGAUACCGUGACAUAACGGUUGGUGCAGUUUCUAUAAAUCAUAUUGCAGAAACGAACCCUGAGGCUGUGCUUAUUCUUGGACAACAUAUUCUGAGUAAUGGUUUAUCACUACUGAAGAUUGGAAAGAGGAAUUAUUAUAUUAUAAAAUGGCUUCAGUUGUCACAUGAAGAGUGACAAUAUUAAGGUUUGUAAUAUGUUAGGAAAGGUCACCUUUCUUCAAAGAUGUCAGAAAGGCGUGAUCUAGAGAAGUACACAUCAGAUGUUAACAAGGACAGUGAAGUAUUGUGUAAAGAGUUUUUCCUCACUGAGUGAGGCUUGCUUACCUACAGAAUCAUUUGGAAAAUGGAUGGUGUUUUAUUUCAUUGUUCAGUAAUGAAAUACAUGUAAUAGUUUCGAUUAUAAUGGAAUUUAAAUGUAUAAAUCAUUGUGGAAAUGUUCUCUGCAAUGAGAUUAAAAUGAAUUUACAAAGAUUUACUAGUUGCAUUAUUAUUUGAAUUACAAGCUUUAGAUAAAAUUGGCUUAUUCUAAACACUAUAAUUUUGUUCAGUAUUUUCUAUGAUAAAGUUGUUUAGUAUCAUUCUGUGAGAUGGUUCGACUGUGGACAAAACUAUCUGAAGAAAUGCAGCUAAGUUGCUAUUAUUGAAACAUCAGUAAUUCCAGCUUCAAACAAAUAUUGGGAUAGAGAAGGAGUUUAUUUGGAGCAUCAGAAACAGUUCCUGUUCCAAAAGAGCUACUUCUCAAAAUUUGGCAGUCCAUCACUAGAAAGAUGGAUCAGUGUGGUCUGAAGAAAGACAUCAUGUGCCAGGCCUUCCCAAAACAGUUGUGUUGGCCCGUCUCUAGGUAGUCAUGUCAUUCUACUUGAAUUAAUUCAGAGCUGUUGUUAGUACUUAGAAUUUCCUGUAUCUAUGUAACUUAGAACAACUUACUUCACUCAAAGACAAACCUGGGAAUUAAAUAUUGCAUUAAACAUGAGCUUUGCCUUCAAAA